rnacentral:tRNA from 1 species
GCGCUGGUGCUGGAACUGGCAGACAGGCAUGGUUGAGGGCCAUGUGCCGCAAGGCGUGGAGGUUCAAGUCCUCUCCAGCGCAC